rnacentral:rRNA from 1 species
UAGGGAAUAUUAGUAAUGGGCGCAAGCCUGAACUAGCAACGCCGCGUGUGCGAAGAAGGCCUUCGGGUUGUAAAGCACAUUUUGAGAGGAUGAGGAAGGACGGUACUCUCAGAAUAAGUCUCGGCUAACUACGUGCCAGCAGCCGCGGUAACUCGUAGGAGGCGAACGUUAUCCGGAUUUACUGGGCGUAAAGCGCGUGUAGGUGGUUUGGUAAGUAGGGCGUGAAAGCUCCUGGCUCAACUGGGAGAGGCCGUUCUAAACUGCCGAACUAGAGGAUGGUAGAGGGAGGUGGAAUUCCGGGUGUAGCGGUGGAAUGCGCAGAUAUCCGGAGGAACACCAGUGGCGAAAGCGGCCUCCUGGACCAUUCCUGACACUCAGACGCGAAAGCUAGGGUAGCAAACGG